UGGGGAAUAUUGGACAAUGGGCGGAAGCCUGAUCCAGCAACGCCGCGUGAGGGAUGACGGCCUUCGGGUUGUAAACCUCUUUCAGCACCGACGAAGCGAGAGUGACGGUAGGUGCAGAAGAAGGACCGGCCAACUACGUGCCAGCAGCCGCGGUAAUACGUAGGGUCCGAGCGUUGUCCGGAAUUAUUGGGCGUAAAGGGCUCGUAGGCGGUUUGUCGCGUCGGGAGUGAAAACACCGGGCUUAACUCGGUGCUUGCUUUCGAUACGGGCAGACUGGAGGUAUGCAGGGGAGAACGGAAUUCCUGGUGUAGCGGUGAAAUGCGCAGAUAUCAGGAGGAACACCGGUGGCGAAGGCGGUUCUCUGGGCAUUACCUGACGCUGAGGAGCGAAAGUGUGGGGAGCGAACAGG
rnacentral:rRNA from 1 species